CUACUGCUCCCUCCAUCCAAAAAAGCUUGUCCCUCAAAUGGAUGUAUCUAGCACUAACUUGGUGCUAGAUACAUCCAUUGGAGGGACAAGAUUUUUCGGACGGAGGGAGUAUUUG
rnacentral:pre_miRNA from 1 species